UGUUAUCUCGAGAAAACAAAGUUUGUUUUCUCAAGAUAUCAAGAUGAUUAAGGUGGGCUCAAAAAUGACAUGACAUCACA